GUAGAGACAUGUGCGUGGUCUCUGCAAACACUGUGGCCAGCGGAGUGUUGAUCCGUGAGAGGAAAAUGGAAGUCUGGUUCAACGUGACUCAGUAGCCAGUAUGGGUUCAAAUUCAGAGUCUGACACCAGGAAAGGAAUUCUGUAGCAUCUUGAUUUUAUCUACUGGACUGAAAGUUAUAGUCUAGGGGUCAAGAGAAAAUAGUUCUGUGUGAAGUUCCAGAUGUAUGAACGAACAGGAAAUAGACAAGGAUGACUGACGCUCAUCCUGACUCAGAGCUCAUGGACCUGUGCAUUGGGUGUGUAUAAAUCCCAUGACUCAUCUGCUUGCACUUCCACAUCUAAGAAGACCAAGGCUGUGAGCCUGAAACGCUUGCCUGUAAACAUCUGUCUUGUUACUAGCCUGGGAUUCAAACACUGGGCACUGGAAUCUGGUUAUCAAUCUAACACACCAUUUUACCCCAAUAUGAUGAACUUAGAGGAUAUUAGAAAGACUCCAAUUCUAAAAUAAUGCAUCUACAAACACAUAAAGUACAGAGAAACGUUUGUCUUUUA